AUUGAACGCUGGCGGCAGGCCUAACACAUGCAAGUCGAGCGGAUGAGUGGAGCUUGCUCCAUGAUUCAGCGGCGGACGGGUGAGUAAUGCCUAGGAAUCUGCCUGGUAGUGGGGGACAACGUUUCGAAAGGAGCGCUAAAACCGCAUACGUCCUACGGGAGAAAGCAGGGGACCUUCGGGCCUUGCGCUAUCAGAUGAGCCUAGGUCGGAUUAGCUAGUAGGUGGGGUAAUGGCCCACCUAGGCGACGAUCCGUAACUGGUCUGAGAGGAUGAUCAGUCAAACUGGAACUGAGACACGGUCCAGACUCCUACGGGAGGCAGCAGUGGGGAAUAUUGGACAAUGGGCGAAAGCCUGAUUCAGCCAUGCCGCGUGUGUGAAGAAGGUCUUCGGAUUGUAAAGCACUUUAAGUUGGGAGGAAGGGCAGUAAGCUAAUACCUUGCUGUUUUGACGUUACCAACAGAAUAAGCACCGGCUAACUUCGUGCCAGCCGCCGCCGUAAUAC
rnacentral:rRNA from 1 species